UACUAACUUAGAAGCCUUUUUACAGUAACAAUCUAAUAUUGUUUAUUUACAAUGUUGUAGUUGCGUUUAUUUUAAAUUGAUAAUGUUUAUUAGUUUGAGUACUUUGCUACCAAAAUCGACUAGUUUCUUUGUAGAGUUUUCUUUAUUUAGCUAUCAUAAACAAGAUAUUAUAGGAAACCUACGACAGUCAUCUUUUUAAUGAUGUAGAGUGUGACAUUUGAUGACAUUUUUAUAUUGGUUUUUAAUAAAUAUUAAGUGGAUCGUGUGUGGAUUAAAUAUGUUAUGAAUAGCCGAUGGCCUGACAAAUGAAAGGAGUUAAGUCUUGCGGUGAGCUGCUGGGCGCGAUCGGGAGCUUGCGUGUGCGUGGUGCUCACAGUCGCGUUUACGGUUUUCAAAAGAAUACGAGUAUUCACUUGGCUUUUGAUUAUUGGAAGCUAUCAGAGGCGUACACAGGCAUGCGUUUAUUUGUGCUGGCAACGAUCUGUCUGGUUUGGGCGGCUCGCAAGCGUUCAGUGAAGAUGUCUGGGCGAGUUAACGCGUGCCCCGCGGCGGCGGCUGCGGUCGCCGCUCAUGUCCGCUUAAUGAGUGUUUUAACUACUGUUGGUAAAUCAUGCUUUUACGUCCUUCGGGCUCAGAUAUACGACGGCGCGACUCACCUGCAUAAUAAGAUUCAGACUUUAAACGCAAUUAUUGCAUGCAAUCAAAAAUAUCAACAACGGAGAGGUUGUACUCUCGAAUCAAUAAAGUUUUAAAGGUUACCAAAAUAUAAGCCAUCCUUUAGUGAGACCAUCAACUAAAACAUGUCGGCACCGAGCCUACAAAGGAUAAUUUGCAUUUAACGACAAUAUUUUAUUCAUACGCACUACAAUCGAAAUAAAUUCGCAAUGUGGUAUCCCGAGCGACGACUUGAAAAUUCGGAUACAAAAAAAUUGGGUUAGCGCAAUUAACCGCCAAAGGUGCCGCGAUUUUGCAGGCGGAUAAUGAAUGGGCAAUCACGCGCCUUUGAUAAGUACAGCGCGUGACCAGAUAGUGAGAGCUGUUGGGUCUCCAGUAGUUGCGUGGUCGUGGCCGGCGUUGGAAAGGCUUCGCGGGCCGUGGGAGGUCAGGAUGGACUGGUGGCGCGCGGCGGGGAGCUGGCGCGGGCAGGUGGCGCGAAGGCCGCGCCGGGACCGGGAGCGCGUCGCCUCCAGUUAAUUGAUUCCAAUCUGAGAAGCGGCUCACUAUAAUUCAUUCCGUAAGUAAGUGUGUAUCCACUCUCGCUCUUCGAUAAUUAUAAUAAAACGGUCAACAGGUAACGGUGUUUUGUAUUUCUAUUGUUAUUUUUGUAUUAACUCAAUUUUAUUUUAAACAAAUGAAACUUAAAUACUGAGGAAAUGAAAAUAAGCUUGCCAAGCUAUCUUAUUCCCCUAAAAGCUUCAAAUCUGUUAUGUCAAACGUGAAAACAGUAACUACUUUUCAAUCCAAACACCUAUACAAUGUCUUCU